GUACGGGAGGCAGCAGUGGGGAAUUUUGGACAAUGGACGCAAGUCUGAUCCAGCCAUGCCGCGUGCGGGAAGAAGGCCUUCGGGUUGUAAACCGCUUUUGUCAGGGAAGAAACGCUCUGGGUUAAUACCUCGGGGUAAUGACGGUACCUGAAGAAUAAGCACCGGCUAACUACGUGCCAGCAGCCGCGGUAAUACGUAGGGUGCAAGCGUUAAUCGGAAUUACUGGGCGUAAAGCGUGCGCAGGCGGUUAUGCAAGACAGAUGUGAAAUCCCCGGGUUCAACCUGGGAACUGCAUUUGUGACUGCAUGGCUAGAGUACGGUAGAGGGGGAUGGAAUUCCGCGUGUAGCAGUGAAAUGCGUAGAUAUGCGGAGGAACACCGAUGGCGAAGGCGAUCCCCUGGACCUGUACUGACGCUCAUGCACGAAAGCGUGGGGAGCAAACAGGAUUAGAUACCCGCGUAGUCCC
rnacentral:rRNA from 1 species